GUUUGUUCGAUGACGUAAUAAAACAUCGGUCCUACAUGAAAAAGCUUUUAGGAUGAAGGUUGAUGAAUCGGAUUACGUGCAGUUGAAAUUUACACAUUUCAGGAAGGAAACGGAACUGUGAACAUUGAAACGCUUAUCCUGAAAUUCACUCGGUAUCAAGUACACAAUUCCCUUCAAAUAUCUGUGUUGACUCAGAAAAGUGAUCUGUCAUACCGAUUGCCAAUGUUCCCGGGGGUGAAAAUAUUUACUUUCCAUUGGCAACAAAAAUCAUCGUUGAUUCGGUCAAUGUUAUUCUUUCGCUUGAUGGAUUGCCUGCUGUCUAGUGAAGAUUAAAAUCCGUGGUCCAAUCGAUGACCGCGGAGUUGACCAGUGACCGUCACAGUGCUGGAAAAUGAGGUAGGGGAGGAAAAUGGUGCGAACAUACGGC